rnacentral:rRNA from 1 species
CCUACGGGCGGCAGCAGUGGGGAAUAUUGGACAAUGGGCGAAAGCCUGCUCCAGCCAUGCCGCGUGUGUGAAGAAGGCCUUCGGGUUGUAAAGCACUUUCAGUGGGGAAGAAAGCCUUGGGGCUAAUACCCUCGAGGAAGGACAUCACCCACAGAAGAAGCACCGGCUAACUCCGUGCCAGCAGCCGCGGUAAUACGGAGGGUGCGAGCGUUAAUCGGAAUUACUGGGCGUAAAGCGCGCGUAGGCGGUCUGAUAAGCCGGUUGUGAAAGCCCCGGGCUCAACCUGGGAACGGCAUCCGGAACUGUCAGGCUAGAGUGCAGGAGAGGAAGGUAGAAUUCCCGGUGUAGCGGUGAAAUGCGUAGAGAUCGGGAGGAAUACCAGUGGCGAAGGCGGCCUUCUGGACUGACACUGACGCUGAGGUGCGAAAGCGUGGGUAGCAAACAGGAUUAGAUACCCCGGUAGUC